ensembl:lncRNA
GUUGUUUUGAUCCCUCACUCUGCAGUGAAAACGACAGAUAUAAAAACUGUUUGCUCACUUUAAAAAAAUAAAGCAUUUGCUAUUUCUGCCCCUUUUUCUGCCGGUGUUGUUUAGGUGCUGUGGUGCAGCCUCAGGAAGUCGAGGACAAGCCCGAGCUCACCACCUAUGAGGAGUUCCUACGGGAGGCGCGCGCCAUAGACCAGCAGCAGCGUCUGCUUAAUCAGCGCUGCGCUUCACUGACCACCUACACCCUCAGAGGGACUCCUCCAGAGUACACCAGCUACAGGCAGAGCUUCCUCAGCCUCCAGCAGGACGACAACAAGCCCAUUCUCGAAGCUCCCUAACCCCGAAAAAAAACACAGGCAUCUGAACUUUGUGACGGAGUAUGCGGAUAAGUUUGGAUUCCUGCAGCGGGUGUUUCCUCCGAGUACCUGCAAAAACUUCACCCCUGCCAAGGUGACACGUCCAUGGGUAGCCAUCCAACACACGGCAGCACCACGAAGGACCAUGUGCUCUGAAUACAUGUCUAGCUACUGCCACCCACGCGCCAUGUCCAGGCCAAAGACAUGCUGAAUCAUGAGACGCUUCACCUAGAUGCUGAUGGACCUUUUUCACAACCAUCACCACUGCCAUCAUCUUCAGAACAGACAAGACUAUUUUAAGUUUCAG